rnacentral:rRNA from 1 species
GACGAACGCUGGCGGCGUGCUUAACACAUGCAAGUCGAGCGGUAAGGCCCUUCGGGGUACACGAGCGGCGAACGGGUGAGUAACACGUGAGUAAUCUGCCCUUCACUUCGGGAUAACCACCGGAAACGGUGGCUAAUACCGGAUAUGACUUCUCUUCGCAUGUUGAGAGGUGGAAAGUUCCGGCGGUGGAGGAUGUGCUCGCGGCCUAUCAGCUUGUUGGUGAGGUAAUGGCUCACCAAGGCUUCGACGGGUAGCCGGCCUGAGAGGGUGACCGGCCACACUGGGACUGAGACACGGCCCAGACUCCUACGGGAGGCAGCAGUGGGGAAUAUUGGACAAUGGGCGAAAGCCUGAUCCAGCAACGCCGCGUGAGGGAUGACUGCCUUCGGGUUGUAAACCUCUUUCAGUACCGACGAAGCGAGAGUGACGGUAGGUACAGAAGAAGCACCGGCCAACUACGUGCCAGCAGCCGCGGUAAU